rnacentral:rRNA from 1 species
AUUGAACGCUGGCGGAAUGCUUUACACAUGCAAGUCGAACGGCAGCACGGGGGCAACCCUGGUGGCGAGUGGCGAACGGGUGAGUAAUACAUCGGAACGUGCCCAGUCGUGGGGGAUAACGUAGCGAAAGCUACGCUAAUACCGCAUACGAUCUACGGAUGAAAGCGGGGGAUCGCAAGACCUCGCGCGAUUGGAGCGGCCGAUGGCAGAUUAGGUAGUUGGUGGGGUAAAGGGACUCACCAAGCCGACGAUCUGUAGCUGGUCUGAGAGGACGACCAGCCACACUGGGACUGAGACACGGUCCAGACUCCUACGGGAGGCAGCAGUGGGGGAAUUUUGGUACAAUGGGCGCAAGCCUGAUCCAGCCAUUCCGCGUGCAGGAUGAAGGCCUUC